rnacentral:rRNA from 1 species
UGGGGAAUAUUGGACAAUGGGCGCAAGCCUGAUCCAGCGACGCCGCGUGAGUGAUGAAGGCCUUCGGGUUGUAAAGCUCUGUUGAGGGAGAAGAAAACGGCUGGCGUGAAUAACUCCAGUCCUUGACGGUAUCCCUUUAGAAAGCACCGGCUAACUCUGUGCCAGCAGCCGCGGUAAGACAGAGGGUGCAAACGUUGCUCGGAAUUACUGGGCGUAAAGCGCGUGUAGGCCGGCCCUCAAGUCGGACGUGAAAUCCCUGAGCUCAACUCAGGAACUGCAUCCGAAACUGAGGGUCUAGAGUAGUGGAGAGGGAAGCAGAAUUCCUGGUGUAGAGGUGAAAUUCGUAGAUAUCAGGAGGAACACCGGUGGCGAAGGCGGCUUCCUGGCCAUUCACUGACGCUGAGACGCGAAAGCGUGGGGAGCAAACAGGAUUAGAUACCCCUGUAGUCC